AUUGAACGUUGGCGGCAGGCCUAACACAUGCAAGUCGAACGAAGUCUUCGGACUUAGUGGCGGACGGGUGAGUAACACGUGGGAACGUACCUUUUGGUUCGGAACAACUCAGGGAAACUUGAGCUAAUACCGGAUGAGCCCUUAGGGGGAAAGAUUUAUCGCCGAAAGAGCGGCCCGCGUUAGAUUAGCUAGUUGGUGAGGUAAAGGCUCACCAAGGCUACGAUCUAUAGCUGGUCUGAGAGGAUGAUCAGCCACACUGGGACUGAGACACGGCCCAGACUCCUACGGGAGGCAGCAGUGGGGAAUCUUGCGCAAUGGGCGAAAGCCUGACGCAGCCAUGCCGCGUGAAUGAUGAAGGUCUUAGGAUUGUAAAAUUCUUUUACCAGGGACGAUAAUGACGGUACCUGGAGGAAAAGCCCCGGCUAACUUCGUGCCAGCCGCCGCAGUAAUAC
rnacentral:rRNA from 1 species